GCGGGGUGGAGCAGUUCGGUAGCUCGUCGGGCUCAUAACCCGAAGGUCGCAGGUUCAAAUCCUGUCCCCGCAACCA
rnacentral:tRNA from 1 species